AUUGAACGCUGGCGGCAGGCCUAACACAUGCAAGUCGAGCGGAUGAAGAGAGCUUGCUCUCUGAUUUAGCGGCGGACGGGUGAGUAAUGCCUAGGAAUCUGCCUGGUAGUGGGGGAUAACGUUCCGAAAGGAACGCUAAUACCGCGUACGUCCUACGGGAGAAAGCAGGGGACCUUCGGGCCCUGCGCUAUCAGAUGAGCCUAGGUCGGAUUAGCUAGUUGGUGAGGUAAUGGCUCACCAAGGCGACGAUCCGUAACUGGUCUGAGAGGAUGAUCAGUCACACUGGAACUGAGACACGGUCCAGACUCCUACGGGAGGCAGCAGUGGGGAAUAUUGGACAAUGGGCGAAAGCCUGAUCCAGCCAUGCCGCGUGUGUGAAGAAGGUCUUCGGAUUGUAAAGCACUUUAAGUUGGGAGGAAGGGCAGUAAGUUAAUACCUUGCUGUUUUGACGUUACCGACAGAAUAAGCACCGGCUAACUUCGUGCCAGCAGCCGCCGUAAUAC
rnacentral:rRNA from 1 species